ACUUGAUGGUGUUUAUGACGUCGACUAUCGACGUCAUAAACACCAAACUUGAUGGUGUUUAUGACGUCGAAUAUCGACGUCAUAAACACCA
rnacentral:miRNA from 1 species